ensembl:lncRNA
UGUAGGGAUGUAGGGAUGUAGGGAUGUAGGGACUGGGGUGUAGGGGUGUAGGGGGAUGGGGGUGUAGGGAUGUAGGGAUGUAGGGAUGUAGGGGUGUAGGGAUGUAGGGGUGUAGGGAUGUAGGGGUGUAGGGAUGUAGGGAUGUAGGGAUGUAGGGGUGUAGGGAUGUAGGGAUAUAGGGACUGGGGUGUAGAGGGAUGUAGGGGUGUAGGGAUGUAGGGAUGUAGGGAUGUAGGGGUGUAGGGAUGUAGGGAUGUAGGGGUGUAGGGAUGUAGGGAUGUAGAGAUGUAGGGAUGUAGGGGUGUAGGGGUGUAGGGAUGUAGGGGUGUAGGGGUGUAGGGAUGUAGGGGUGUAGGGAU